CCUACGGGUGGCAGCAGUGGGGAAUAUUGGGCAAUGGAGGAAACUCUGACCCAGCAACGCCGCGUGAAUGAUGAAGGUCUUCGGAUUGUAAAGUUCUUUUCUAAGGGAAGAAGAAAGUGACGGUACCUUAGGAAUAAGCAUCGGCUAACUCCGUGCCAGCAGCCGCGGUAAUACGGAGGAUGCGAGCGUUAUCCGGAUUUAUUGGGUUUAAAGGGUGCGCAGGCGGAAUGUCAAGUCAGCGGUAAAAUUUCGGGGCUCAACCCCGUCGUGCCGUUGAAACUGGCGUUCUUGAGUGAGCGAGAAGUAUGCGGAAUGCGUGGUGUAGCGGUGAAAUGCAUAGAUAUCACGCAGAACUCCGAUUGCGAAGGCAGCAUACCGGCGCUCAACUGACGCUCAUGCACGAAAGCGUGGGUAUCGAACAGGAUUAGAUACCCUUGUAGUC
rnacentral:rRNA from 1 species